UUUCCAGAAAUUCAUAUUUAAAAAAUAUUCUAAGAAUUAGAAACGCAUAGAUGAUGUUGAUAUGCGUCUAUACAGCACUAGCUCUGAAAUGGUUUGAAAGAUAUUUCAAGCUGAGGAUUUCAAGCUGAGUCGGCUGAGGAAGGAGUAAUGCCAGGUGAGAGUGCGGUCUUGUACGCAGUGCCCAUGGUAUCUCAGGUCUGCCAGUAUGUGUAGAGUAUUGAUGUUUUAUUAUUUCAAUCAGAAACACUGUUUAGAUGUGGGACUUACUUACUGAUGAAAGAGCUAAUUAUCACUUGCCUCUAUCAAAGCUGACAAAGGUGGAAAUAGCGUACAACAGCCUGUAAGCAUUUCCAUCAUAUGAUCGAUAAUCUCCUUUAGACCAUAAAUUUUGCAUCGGGCAACACUCAUGAUAAUUGUAUACAUUGUAUUUUUACCGUAUUUUCAAAUGUGUUCUCUCUCAUCAGGGUUUCAUAUGCUGUAUAUUACUGUAUAUUAGUGGGAAUUCAGUGGAAGAGCCAGAAUGAUUUGAUAAGAUAUGUCAUUACUGAAGCAUAUUUAAAUGUACUUCUUGAUAGCAUAACUUCAUCACUUAAUACCGGAACUGUUAACUUUCAGGAUGCAAGCCUGGAACUUAUGGACCUGAUUGUACUCGUUGUGGAUAUUUUGACGUCACGUGCAAUGUUGGAGAAGGACGCUGCCCCGGAGAAUGUCUGGACGGCUUCACGGUUGACCGAUCAGAUGAGGAUGUUAGAGUGUCUCCUGUUACAAGCAGCGUCAUUGGAGGAGCGGUAAUACUUAUAAUGCUGUUGCUGAGUGGUGGGCUGAUGAUGUGUCUGCUGACAUCUGGAAGACUGCAAUGGAUAUCCUCACCUAGCACAGGUGUCAGAAAUACAGACACAGGUGGGAAUGGAGAGAUUCCUGCUCAUGCGAACACGUCUGGAACAAAUGAGCAAGACUACACCGAACUGAGUGAAGUCACCAGGGAGAGAGAGGAGAAGUCACAGUAUGAUGUCAUUCAGAACAAAGUGUAUGAAAACAACCAAAUCUGAGUUGAGAGCAGCGGAUCCUUUUCGUAUGUGCUAUGACAUACCACAUUUAAUGUUCACAUAACUGAAUAUGUUCUGUCCAGAGUACAACUCUAGAAUAUUAUACAAGUUUAUAUCAUGAAAGAUUUUGAUCCUGCCUGAAGUAUAAUAUAUAAAGCUUUUUAGUUUUCACUUUCGUAUUUGGUAGUUUGUACAUAUAAUAAGUGUUAAUGAGUUGUCAUGACAUCAUAUUGUUAUAUUUGGUGCUAUUUUUAUGCUUUAUUUCACUACUGAAUAAGACAAAUAUUUAUGAAUUACUCAUUACUCAUUACACUUUCAUAUUUUAUGCACUGAAGCUGAUUAGCUUUACUGUAUUUAUGUUACUGAAAAUUCAGAUAAUGUACAAUUUUGUUUUGUGGUGUUAGUAUUGUAAAUUUUACCGCUGAAAAAAGGACAUGCAAUGGUAUAGUAGACAAUAUUGGCUACGAAUACUUUGGAUGGGAUGUUACCCGUUGUACAUUUAUGUUAUCUCAGAUCAGGUCAUGUCAUGUACCCUUGCUGGUGACUGAAAUCUUGACCACCGAUCUCAGCAAAUGUGAUACAAUUCGAUCCCGUUUGUUACCUCUGAAGAUUAGCGUGAAAUGCUGCGGACGAAAUCGUCCCAAGGAAUAACUUGUGUUAGCAGGGUAAAAUACAAAAAAAACAAAUCGACUUUGCCCAUGUUUUUAUUUUCAUGUAUUUCACCACCUAAGUAAUAUUUCACCUCUUCGUGUUAUUGCAUUUUAAAAAUUUAUCUGUAUGUGAUUAAUUUGUAUAACCCAUGUGGUGUCAGACGUAAAUGGUAACAGAAUAAAAUUUACCAUCAAAGCA
rnacentral:lncRNA from 1 species